CCACAGUUCCCAGACCCUGGCCAGGGAGCACGAAGCACUGAUGCAGAAGUACCUGCACCUGCUGCACAUCGUGGAGACGGAGAAGACAGUGGCCAAGCAGCUACAGCAGCAGAUCGAGGAUGGGGAGAUCAAUAUCAAGCGGCUGAAGGCAGAGGAUAAUGCACAAUGAAGUAAAUGAGACAGAGAGCAUCCAGGAAAACAUAGCCAUGGAGGGCAUGAUGGUCGAAGGCUGUGAGACCCUCCUGGACACCAGCCAGACUUUUGUGAGAUGGGGCAUGGCACCCUGCCUCCCCCCAACAUCAAGUGAUAUUGACCUUUCCCUGAAGAGGCGGGAAUGAGAAAAUAAGACGAGAAGACCCUAUGGAGCUUCAAUUCAUUAAAAAAAAAAACAAAGGUAAGCCAAAUCAAGGGAUAACAAAACUUAAAUGGACUAACAAUUUUGGUUGGGGUGACCUCAGAGAAGAAAAUAACCUCUGAGUCAUUAAAAUCUAGACCAGCUAAUCAAAAUAUUUUAUCACUUAUUGAUCCAAAAUGUUGAUCAACAGAACAAGUUACCCUCGGGAUAACAGAACAAUCCUAUUCUAGA